AAGGAGGACUAAACCCAACGUGCAGUAGUUUGUCAAGCAUCUAGUAUCUAGUAGAAACUGAAAACCGGGUUUGUUUUUAAUACGGCCGCGAAAUAUUCUUCUGUGUCUAAUUGAGGUCUGAGAGCCCCGAGGAGCAGCAGAGCACUGGAGUCUUGGGCCGAAUCGGGAGCUGGCUCUCUCCAUGGAGGGGAAAGGCUCCAACUAGUCCCACUGAAAAUGCCUCUGCGAGUAGCGGUCAGGCUCUUAAGUCAGAGGAGGAAAAGGAGAGUGAGGAAUCUGUGAGACUCUGUGGGACAGGGACACGAGAGUCGGAGCAGGAGGAGGAGGGCCGACUAUCCAAUCGCAAUCCACUCCGUCCCUCCGGAGACAUUUUCCCUUGUGAAGAGGUGGACGCCACUCGGUCUGCCCACAGAGACGGCUCUGUUGCGAGCAGCGCUGAGAAAGCGGAUCCAAAGAAGGAGGAGCUGGUGGAGUGCAGGACAAAGAGAGUCGUGCAAGGCAAGCAGAGGGAGGAGAGCGGCACCGGCACAUUAGCCGGCGGGACAGACGCCCGUCAGGUGACACAUCAGUCCUCCUCCGCAGAGCAGGGCGUGGCGAGGGCGUCUGACCUUGCCCCCGGCCGGCCUCACGCACAGAGACAAGCGCAGGCGGGCCGGAGGCUCCAUGUGUACCUGGAGGAGACCAGCGUCACCCACUGCGACCAGAACACCUGCGCUG
ensembl:lncRNA